UUUGUUCUUUUUUUUUCAAAAAAAAGGGAAACCUGCCAGGCCGAGCCAAAGGGGCUCAGCCCAGCCUUGCACCGAGCCCCACAUGCACCGAGGCAUGCAUGCAUCGUACCCAGCAUGCAACAGCCCCACCCGAGCUACCCCUCCCCACGUCUCCUCUCUUUUCUCUCUCUCCUCUCUCCAGCGAUUUCCUUCCUCCCAGUAGCUCUCUCUCCUUCCUUUCUACUCUCCUGCCUUGCCUCUUUUCUCCUGCCCAAGCCCCACGCGAUCUUCUCCUCCCUCCCUUUCUUUUCUCUGCCCAGGAACCGAG
rnacentral:lncRNA from 1 species